UUUUAUCACCUUUAUUUAAACAGGUAGGCUAGUUGAGAACAAGUUCUCAUUUACAACUGCGACCUUGCCAAGAUAAAGCAUAGCAGUGUGAACAGGUAGGCUAGUUGAGAACAAGUUCUCAUUUACAACUGCGACCUGACCAAGAUAAAGCAUAGCAGUGUGAACAGACAGCAACACAGAGUUACACAUGGAGUAAACAAUAAACAAGUCAAUAACACAGACAUAACACAUUACCAUAACUCUGUUUAUACAAGGCUUGCAUCUAAUUGUUGUAUAAAAUGAAUAAGUAAAGAUGAAACUAUUUGUGAAAUGAUGUAAUGUGAUUAUAAACUGUUUAAUGAAGGAAACUCCAAUUCCCUUUGGAGUUUAACUAAGUCAUAGGCUCGCCCCAUGAGCACAGAUAUUGACCUGGCGUCGUGGGACAGCCCUUUUCUGCUGUUAUGAAUAUAACCCCCACCUGAAGGAUUUCCCACCAGACCAGCUUACCUCGAUUACCAUGAGAGGGCUAAGGUUUGAGUAGAGACCAUAAACCUAAGGUUGUAAUGUUUGUUGAAACUCUGAGACUAUCGAUACCGACAGAAUAAGAGCAAGUCGUUGAUACUAAUUAUUAGUCUGCAGCUAGGAAUUCUAUACCAUUGAAUGCUUCGGCCGACAACCGCCGAAACCUCUAUUCUAUAAGAAUAUUUCUGAAUGGGACUCUGAAGUACCCAUUCUAACACCGAAAGACAGGCUGAUGAACUUCCAACAGAAAGAAGGACGAUUCCAACAGAGAUCACGACACACUGAGCGUAAAUAUAUAUAUUUAUUGCAGUUAUUCCCGAAUGAGUGUGCGUUCAUGUGCGAAGGAUUAGCAUUUCAAUUGUUAUAAUUAUCAACCGCGUAGUGUAUUUUGUAUUUCGCGCCCUUCUCAGUCCCUUUGUCUACCAAGCCGCCAUGCCGGUUUAGACCACUAAGGCACAUCCUCUAUCAUUUCCUUGUAACCAUAUCUGCUUUGUUUGUUUGUGUGUGCAUUUCUGUGAUUAUUUAGUUAGAUAAUGAAUAAAUGAUUGAGACAAUUGAUGUACGGAUGAUUCAUAGUGAAGACUGGGUUGGUGCAGAUAACCAACAAUUUACUAAGUUUAUAAUGAGACUAACGUGAGGUAAAGAACAAUUAAUUAAUUAAUUGAUCAGAUAUGAAAAUAUCUGAAAUGGUGUAUUAGGAAAAUUAUAACUUUGUAUUCUGAAUAUUUUCCUUGGUGCCCCGACUUUCUAGUUAAUUACAUUUACAUGAUUAGAAUAAUCACGUAAUAAUAAUUACAGAGAAUUGAUUUGAUAAAAUAACAGUCUUCAUUUGAAUGAUGCCAAAGACACGAUAUAGUCUCUAUCUCUUUAGUUUUCCCACUCCCUCCCUACUGCUUCCUAUGAAUUCCAUCUGAUGUUGUAUGCAUGUUUAGGCCAGUGCUUGACUUGGACUGAAAUAUGGUGCCCGUACUAAUUUUUUAUAUUUAGGUGCAGGAACUCUUCAAUUAUUUUGAGCUAAUAUUCUAAAGAAGGUGCAGGAACUCAAGCAGAAGAAAAUUUGAAUUGUCGGUACUCAGUUCUGGUGAGCUCCUGCCGAAGUCAAGUAGGCUACUGUGCUUAAGUAAAAAGGCAAAUAAUGUCCCGUUUGGAAUACUGACAAGUAUAUUUUUACUCAAUCUGAUUGGGCGGGCCUGGCUCCCCAGUGGCCCCCCACCCAGGCCAACCCGUGCCUACGCCCCUGAUAUUGACCCUUACCUCUGACAUGACCUUUGACCCUAGAUGGCAGUUACUGCCUUCUUACUUGGUACACCCACUGGAAUAUGUUUCCAUGACAAAAAAUGUCAACACUAACUUGUGUUUAUAGAUUUAUUUGUAUAUGGCUUUCAGUUCCAUACAGUUUCAGUUACAGCACAACACAAUGGAGGAAGGAUUUUGCCCACAUGAUAAAGCAUGUAUUUAAUGUAUAAAAAAUGUCAGUAACUCCUUUUGGACUAAAUGUGAAGUUACUGCUCUUACUGCUGAUAACAGAUCCUUCUGUUGAGAAAAUACACUUUGCCUGUAUAUGAUAGGCGACACACACACGCAGGCACGCACGCACACACAAACAUACAUACUCACACACAAGGGCAUCAACCUGGGAUUCAGGCUCCCUCUGCAGGCCGUUGGUCUGAACUGCACUUCUCCUAAUCUUGAAGGCCAUGCCUUCUGUGACUGUCCUGUGGAUUAGGCCAGGGAUUUCACUGUGGAGUAAUGGGAGGACGGGUGGUGCUAGUGCUAAACUAAUCAGAUCAGUACAAACACAGAUCCUGUAAUGCAGAGCAAUCACUGUCUGUUGUGUGGAGAAACAGACACUGAGACACACUGUAGCCGGAAGCUAGGAGCACUGAGUGCUGUUUGUUUUGAAGGGACUGAGACUGAGCCAAGCUGGGAGACAUUUCAUCAUCAUCCCCAACAUGCUGACACAUGGAAACAAACCCAGCAGCAUGUUUCUGCAGUGCUAAGGAGGAAAAUACUAGAGGGCCAGUUGAAGCUGUUUGAGUUUUUUGACGACUGUGAGGAUGUGUGGAUUUAUGAGAAGUGGCUUCCUCUGUAGUCUGCCAGGCUGGGCAGAGACUUCAGCCAGAUCCAGCUGGAUUUUCAGAAACAGAGAGACUUGGUGGUCAUUGAGGCGGAGGUGUCCUGGACUAAAGAGGAGGGGCAGGGGCUGACCAGGAAGUACCCCCAGGUGCGGGCCAGUCUGAGUGAGAGACCACAGGAAAUGGAGGUGCGCUGGGCAAGUCUGCAGGCCAAGGCCAUCCAAUGCAGGAAGAAACUGGGGCAGGCUGAGGCUGUGCAGAGAUAUCUCACAGAAUGGACAGAACUCAUGUAGGUCUACUUAUUUUGACUUAAUGUAGUUGGGCUUGUUAAGGUGAUGCCAUAAUGUCAACCGAUGCUCUAAUGUCACAUUAAUGAUGUGCUUAUAGAUGUGUAAUAUGCACUUUAGGAACGUAUAAUUAUUGAGGUGUGACCUGACCUGGACCUAAUUUGUAAUUGAACAUAUAAUUGUAAUAUACAUUUGAGGGCUGUUAUGGUUUUGAAUCAUUAGGUUAUUUUAAUUUAGCCUUUGUUGCCAAGGACAUGGCUAAAAGAGACACUGUCCCUGGGGAGAGGUGAGGAGGGGAGGGCGCUGACCUGGAGCAGCUAAUAAAAAGACACGAAGAGUACCACGUUCAGAUUGACAUGCAGCGCAACAAAUCACAGCCCGUGAAAGAUGAGGGAAAAUACCUUGUGGAUGAAGGCAACUACACGGGCCAAGAGAUAGCAGCACAGUACUUUACAUUCAGUCAUGAUGUCAAAGCAACCUAAACAUCAAUAUAUGUUAAGCAUUAUUGUACUCAUGUUUCUAUUAUUAUGUCUUGUGUCACAAUGUUAAAUGUCCAAUGCAGCCAUUUGUAUCUUAAUAUCUAAUAAUUUUGGGGCAAUUAAGUACCUUACUGUGAUUGUUUUUGUAGUAUGAUUUAAAAUAAGGACGCGUGACAACGAGGUUCUAGCUCCAGCCUGUUUAUUAACCUAACCCUCGCAUGUCCUACAUAGGUACGGAUACCCCCAAGGGACAUCCUACUACAUCUUCCCCUCUCCCAUGACCAAGAACUCAACAUGCAUAACCACUGAAGCAUAACUGAAAUGCAAUUUGGUAACCAGUAUUAUUCUCUAACAUGCUACUUCCCAUCCUGAAACAGUAUGAAAGCAUUCAAUCACACAGUAUGAACAUUAGGUACAGUCUCUUAGGUACAGUCUCUUUUUGCUGGGUAUGUUCCCCAACAGUAUGUUUUCUCUUCACGUAACAUUGUCUUUCAGCCACUCUGGUAGCUUCACAUCCCUUUUUGGGCGCGCUUGUGGCUCUGUGAGCAUUCUCUCUCCUUCACCUUCUUUUUGUGCAUUUUCUGUGGCCUCAGUCUGUGUGGCUGGUAGAUCUGGAAGAGCUCUGAGGUGUGUUUUGUUCCUUCGUACCUCUUCUGAGCCUGUGUCCACCACAUAGGAGCAUGGGGCAUCUGAUUUCCUCAGCACUAUUGCUGGUGUCUUUGAGUUUGUAAUCCACACACGUUGACCUUCGGUCAGCUCUGGCCUCUCCUUAGCACGUUGUCUCCGAUUAAAGUCUCCAGUUUGCGUUUGUUUCAGACGUUUGUCCCUCUCAGCGAAGGCCUUCCUGUUAGGCCAUCGGGGUUUAAGCUGUGCCGGCGAGAUAGGCAAUGGGGAACGCAGCCUCCUGCCCAUCAGGAGCUCGGCAGGCGACGGCCCAUGAUGCAGUGGUGUAACUCUGUAAGCUAACCUGUAUGGAGAGGACACUUUUCAGCUGUCUGUCGAUUAAAGCAAAUGCAUGAGGUCUCAGAGGAGGUACAGCAGGACAGCAUCUUUAUGGGAUAAGUAAAGGAAAACAAUGCUGGCUGGCAUUCAGACAUUAAACUCAAUGGGGAGGUUGUGUCAUUUAAACUAGACACUGGGGCAGCAGUGACAGCUAUCCCAACUAGGCUGUAUAGCUAUAGCAGAGAUGGCCCUUUGCUCUCUACAAACAAAAAACUGUUCGGGCCCAGUAAUAAGAUUUUACCAGUGGUAGGGCAGUUGGUGAUUAAACUGGAGAGUAAAGACAAAAGUGCCAUCCAGCCUGUCUUCGUCAUUGACUCUCCAGCCAGACCGUUGCUGGGGCUGCCAGCAAUUGAAGCAUUGCAACUCAUUGAGAGAGUGAGCGAACUGGAGGACCCAGGUGAGGUUUUCAAAAAGAAAUUCCCAAAAGUGUUUUCUGGUCUAGGAAGGAUAGAAGGUGACUACAAAAUCUGCCUGAAAGAGGAUGCUGUCCCCUAUGCCCUUACCACCCCCAGCCAGGUGCCUAUCCCUUUAUUGGCCAGAGUAAAGGAAGAGUUGGGGAGGAUGGAAGAAAUUGGGUCUGUGUCUAAAAUAGAGAGACUCACAGACUGGUGUGCAUGGAUGGUGGUGCUCCCAAAAGCCAAUGGGGAAAUAAUGAUCUGUGUGGACAUGACUAAAUUGAAUGAGGCACUCUGCAGAGAGAGACACAUCUUACCAUCAGUGGAGCAGUCACUGGCUCAGUUGGAUGGCUCACAAGUCUUCACAAAGCUGGAUGCCCGCUCAGGUUUCUGGCAGAUACCGCUGUCAUCAGAGAGUAGGGCACUCACAACGUUUAUAACACCGUUUGGACGUUAAAGUUUUAAUGUUUUGCCAUUUGGAAUCGCUUCCGGUCCUGAGCAUUUCCAAACACGCAUGUCCCAGCUGUUGGAUGGGCUGAGUGGCGUCAUAGUCCACGCAGACUGUCACACCCUGACCAUAGAGAGCUGUUUAUUCUAUAUGUUGGUUGGGGUGUGACAGUGACUAGGGUGGGUUAUCUAGGUGAUUUAUGAUCUAUGUUGGCCUGGUAUGGUUCCCAAUCAGAGGCAGCUGUUUAUCGUCGUCUCUGAUUGGGGAUCAUAUUUAGGCAGCCAUUUCCCCAUUGUGCUUUGUGGGAUCUUGUCUAGGUGCCUGCGAGCACUUCAUUGAGCUUCACGGUUCGUUUAACACGUUAUUUGUUUUUUCUUUUAGUUACUUUUCCUAAUAAAGAGGAUGGAAACAUACCACGCUGCAUCUUGGUCCACUCCUUAUAACGAUCGUAACAGCAGACGUUGUUUAUCGUUCUCCCGUGUAUAUUUUGUAUUUUGCAUCUUUUUUGUAUAUAUUUCAAUGUAUUUUCUCUCUUUUUCCAUUUUUAAAUUAAAUAUACCUUCUGGCAACCCGCCUCACCCAAUGUGAUACGGAUCUGCUAUUUUUAGACCUUAUAGCCAGAACCGCCAUCAAAAGCUAACCCGCUAAUUAGCUACUAGCUAUUUAGUCAUUGUUUGCCACUGCUAGCGGCCUUUACCUUUAGCACAGUCACCAGUCGCUUUUAGCCUCGAUAAUACUUGCCAGCCUGCCAGUAUCGGACUGUUUUCUCCACUACAACACUGGAUUCCUGCCGUAAGCCCUGCACCAUUUCCCCUGAUCAUCACAGCUAGCCACCGAGUGGCCCAGCCCCAAAGCUAGCUUUGAGCCAGGCCCACCUGCUCAGUGAUCACUCGGCUACACAGCUGAUGCCUCCCGGACUCUUCACUAACACGACUAGAAUCCACUGCUCCACCGGAUUCUUGCCGUAAGCUCUGGACCUUUGCAUCGGAUCAUCGCUGCUAGCUAGCUGCUACCGAGUGGCUAUAGUGGCUAACGCCCUUGUCCCGAAACUAGCACCAGUUAGCCGAGAGCCAGGCGCAUCUCCUAGCCAGCAAACUAAAUUACUCCAGCUACAAUACUUUUGCCAACUGGCCUGGACCCUUUGUCGACACGGAGCCCCGCCGUUCCAUCAUGACUGGUCUGCCGACGUAAUUCCAUCCGUUGUGCACUCAACCGGCCUUUGCCGGACGUCGGAGCAGACGUUUCUACUAUCCCAGGCCUGCUAACUCUUUUUUUUUAAAUUUACGCUGUGUCUCCCGCUUGCUAGCGUAGUAACGACUUCUCAGCGGCUUCCCUGUUUCAUCUAUUGCUGUUCAUUGGACUCUAUGAUCACUUGGCUACAUAGCUGAUGCCUGCUGGACUGUUCAUUAAUCACGGUACUCCAUUUUGUUUAUUUUUGUUUAUCUAUUGGUCCCAGCCUCAAACUCAGGCCCUGUGUGUGCGAACUGAUCCUCUCUGCCAUUCAUCGCCCUUUUACCUGUUAUUGUUGUCAUAGCUGAUUAGCUGUUGUCUUACCUGUUGUUGUCUUAGCUAGCUCUCCCAAUAAACACCUGUGAUUGCUUUAUGCCUUGCUUUAUAUCGCUCACUAAUGUCAAUAUGCCUUGUAUACUGUUUAGGAUAGUUAUCAUUGUUUUAGUUUACUGCGAAGCCCCUAGUCCCACUCAACAUGCCUCAGAUACCUCUUUUGUCCCACCUCCCACACAUGUGGUGACCUCACCCAGCAUAACUAGUGCGUCCCAGAGAUGCAACCUCUCUUAUCGUCACUCAAUGCCUAGGUUUAUCUCCACUGUACCUGCUCCCUACCAUACCCUGCGAUAUGCAACCGACCCUGUCUGUACAUUAUGCCCUGAAUCUAUCCUACCUCGCCUAGAAAUCUGCUCCUUUUAUUCUCUGUCCCCAAUGCACUAGACGACCAGUUUUGAUAUCCUUUAGCCGUACCCUCAUCCUACUCCUCCUCUGUUCCUCAGGUGAUGUGGAGGUUAACCCAGGCCCUGCAUGUCCCCAGGCGCUCUCAUUUAUUUACUUCUGUAAACGCAAAAGCCUUGGUUUCAUGCAUGUUAACAUCAGAAGCCUCCUCCCUAAGUUUGUUUUACUCACUGCUUUAGCACACUCCGCCAACCCUGAUGUCCUUGCCGUAUCUGAAUCCUGGGUUAGGAAGGCCACCAAAAAUUCUGAGAUUUCCAUCCCUAGCUACAACAUUUUCCGUCAAGAUAGAACUGCCAAUGGGGGAGGAGUUGCAAUCUACUGCAGAGAUAGCC
ensembl:lncRNA